GAGUUUGAUCAUGGCUCAGGAUGAACGCUAGCGGCGUGCCUUAUGCAUGCAAGUCGAACGGUCUUAAGCAAUUAAGAUAGUGGCAAACGGGUGAGUAAUAGGUAAGUAACCUGCCCUUAAGUGGGGGAUAACACUUCGAAAGAAGUGCUAAUACCGCAUGUGGUGGGCUGACAUAAGUCGGUUCAUUAAGGCCGCAAGGUGCUUGGUGAGGGGCUUGCGUCCGAUUAGCUAGUUGGUGGGGUAAUGGCCUACCAAGGCUUCGAUCGGUAGCUGGUCUGAGAGGAUGAUCAGCCACACUGGGACUGAGACACGGCCCAGACUCCUACGGGAGGCAGCAGCAAGGAAUCUUGGGCAAUGGGCGAAAGCCUGACCCAGCAACGCCGCGUGAGGGAUGAAGGCUUUCGGGUUGUAAACCUCUUUUCACAGGGAAGAAUAAUGACGGUACCUGUGGAAUAAGCUUCGGCUAACUACGUGCCAGUAGCCGCAGUAAC
rnacentral:rRNA from 1 species